rnacentral:rRNA from 1 species
GCUUCUGGCAAUGCAAGUUGAACAAACAAUUUCCCGUCGGAUCAUUAAAGUUAAGCAACGUUCCGCAUUGUUGGUAUCCGGAUGGGUGACCAUGGGGCAAUCGCGUGCUGUUGGCU